GACGAACGCUGGCGGCGCGCCUAACACAUGCAAGUCGAACGAGCGAGAGGAAGCUUGCUUUCUCGAGCGAGUGGCGAACGGGUGAGUAACGCGUGAGAAACCUGCCUCAAAGAGGGGAACAACAGUUGGAAACGACUGCUAAUACCGCAUAAGCCCACGGGUCGGCAUCGACCAGAGGGAAACGGAGCAAUCCGCUUUGAGAUGGCCUCGGGUCCGAUUAGCUGGUUGGUGAGGUAACGGCCCACCAAGGCGACGAUCGGUAGCCGGACUGAGAGGUUGAACGGCCACAUUGGGGCUGAGACACGGCCCAGACUCCUACGGGAGGCAGCAGUGGGGAAUAUUGCACAAUGGGGGAAACCCUGAUGCAGCGACGCCGCGUGGAGGAAGAAGGUCUUCGGAUUGUAAACUCCUGCUGUUGAGGAAGAUAAUGACGGUACUCAACAAGGAAGUGACGGCUAACUACGUGCCAGCCGCCGCAGUAA
rnacentral:rRNA from 1 species